GCGCUGCAUUAGCUAGUUGGUAAGGUAACGGCUUACCAAGGCAACGAUGCAUAGCCGACCUGAGAGGGUGAUCGGCCACACUGGAACUGAGACACGGUCCAGACUCCUACGGGAGGCAGCAGUAGGGAAUCUUCCGCAAUGGGCGAAAGCCUGACGGAGCAACGCCGCGUGAGUGAUGAAGGUCUUCGGAUCGUAAAACUCUGUUAUUAGGGAAGAACAUAUGUGUAAGUAACUGUGCACAUCUUGACGGUACCUAAUCAGAAAGCCACGGCUAACUACGUGCCAGCAGCCGCGGUAAUACGUAGGUGGCAAGCGUUAUCCGGAAUUAUUGGGCGUAAAGCGCGCGUAGGCGGUUUUUUAAGUCUGAUGUGAAAGCCCACGGCUCAACCGUGGAGGGUCAUUGGAAACUGGAAAACUUGAGUGCAGAAGAGGAAAGUGGAAUUCCAUGUGUAGCGGUGAAAUGCGCAGAGAUAUGGAGGAACACCAGUGGCGAAGGCGACUUUCUGGUCUGUAACUGACGCUGAUGUGCGAAAGCGUGGGGAUCAAACAGGAUUAGAUACCCUGGUAGUCCACGCCGUAAACGAUGAGUGCUAAGUGUUAGGGGGUUUCCGCCCCUUAGUGCUGCAGCUAACGCAUUAAGCACUCCGCCUGGGGAGUACGACCGCAAGGUUGAAACUCAAAGGAAUUGACGGGGACCCGCACAAGCGGUGGAGCAUGU
rnacentral:rRNA from 1 species